UACGUAGGGUCCGAGCGUUGUCCGGAAUUACUGGGCGUAAAGAGCUCGUAGGUGGUUUGUCGCGUUGUUCGUGAAAACUCACAGCUCAACUGUGGGCGUGCGGGCGAUACGGGCAGACUGGAGUACUGCAGGGGAGACUGGAAUUCCUGGUGUAGCGGUGGAAUGCGCAGAUAUCAGGAGGAACACCAAUGGCGAAGGCAGAUCUCUGGGCCGUAACUGACGCUGGAGGAGCGGAAGCAUGGGGAGCGAACAGG
rnacentral:rRNA from 1 species